rnacentral:rRNA from 1 species
GACGAACGCUGGCGGCGUGCUUAACACAUGCAAGUCGAACGGAAAGGCCCUGCUUUUGUGGGGUGCUCGAGUGGCGAACGGGUGAGUAACACGUGAGUAACCUGCCCUUGACUUUGGGAUAACUUCAGGAAGCUGGGGCUAAUACCGGAUAGGAGCUCCUGCUCCAUGGUGGGGGUUGGAAAGUUUCGGCGGUUGGGGAUGGACUCGCGGCUUAUCAGCUUGUUGGUGGGGUAGUGGCUUACCAAGGCUUUGACGGGUAGCCGGCCUGAGAGGGGGACCGGCCACAAUGGGACUGAGAUACGGCCCAGACUCCUACGGGAGGCAGCAGUGGGGAAUAUUGCACAAUGGGCGGAAGCCUGAUGCAGCAACGCCGCGUGCGGGAUGACGGCCUUCGGGUUGUAAACCGCUUUCGCCUGUGACGAAGCGUGAGUGACGGUAAUGGGUAAAGAAGCACCGGCUAACUACGUG